rnacentral:rRNA from 1 species
UACGUAGGAGGCGAGCGUUGUCCGGAAUUACUGGGCGUAAAGAGCGCGUAGGCGGCGCGGUACGACCGCUGUGAAAGCCCCCAGCUCAACUGGGGAGGGUCAGCGGUAACGGCCGUGCUUUGAGUGCAGGAGAGGGAAGUGGAACUCCGGGAGUAGCGGUGAAAUGCGUAGAGACCCGGAGGAACACCAGUGGCGAAGGCGGCUUCCUGGUCUGCGACUGACGCUGUGGCGCGAAAGCUAGGGGAGCAAACAGG